rnacentral:rRNA from 1 species
AUCGAACGCUGGCGGCAGGCCUAACACAUGCAAGUCGAACGAGUGGCGGACGGGUGAGUAAUGUCUGGGAAACUGCCUGAUGGAGGGGGAUAACUACUGGAAACGGUAGCUAAUACCGCAUACCAUCAGAUGUGCCCAGAUGGGAUUAGCUUGUUGGUGGGGUAACGGUGCACCAAGGCGACGAUCCCUAGCUGGUCUGAGAGGAGGACCAGCCACACUGGAACUGGGACACGGUCCAGACUCCUACGGGAGGCCGCAGUGGGGAAUAUUGCACAAUUGACUCAAGCCUGAUGCAGCCAUGCCGCGUGUAUGAAGAUGGCCUUCGGGUUGUAAAAUACGUUCAGCGGGGAGGCGUUACCCGAAGAGGAAGCACCGGCUAACUCCGUGCCAGCAGCCGCAGUAAUAC